AGCAACAGGCAGGCUUCUGAACUAAACACACACCUGAUUUGGUUAUCUAGCUUGAGAGAAACUUCUGCCAUCCAGUUGGGUAAACGAAUGAGCUUUUGAGAGAAUGAACUAGUAUGUGAACAGAAGUGAACGCAAGCAGCCUUGGCUUCUGCAGACCACCACCAACUAGGGCUGCCAGGCAGUGAUGGUGACUAUUCUCAACAGACUGCAAAAUCCACAGUGAAUGUCAAAUUCCUUCCAAAGGAAAGGAUUGAUUCUGUUAUUGAGGUAGGGAGACAUAAGCAGUUCUGAUGUGAGAAAAGGGAAGAGGCUAAAGAGGAAAGUGACACACAAUGGGAGAAGGACCCAACCCUGCCCCUUGUCUUUGAAGAGGAUGGAAGGGGCCAUGAACCAGGAAUAACCCUGAGCCCUGAGGGAAGGGGUUUGACGAAGACUUAUGAUCUAAGGUUGAGGCUCCAAAGUCUCUCAGUUCUGCACACUGCUCCGUUUGAAACUCUUUGCUAAUUACCUUCUACUCCAAGAGCACUCACUAUAGGAUCCUAAGUUACAGGAAGGACAUUUAAUACCACCAGGGAGAUAAAUCUUCUGACUUUCCUACAAACCUUUGAGUCCUGGACUCUUAAUCAGUUCAGUAUUCGUGGUACCAAAGAAUUUGCCAGCUGUGUCUCUACACCUGAACUUGAAGCACUGAUGUGUGCAUGACAUGACCAAGGCCAUUCAGAAGAAUGAAGUUGAUCCUCCAGGAGCAGCACAUAGCUGGUCUACUGGGACUCACUCCAUGUGUAGAACUAUCUGACAUCCUCAUGAAUAUAUGUCUCUCUCAGUUCAAAAAUCUCUGAUGAUGGGGCCUGCAGAUCUUCCCUGGUACCAUGAAACUGACAAGAAGAAAAUAUGUGGCGACCUCGGUUGGCAGCUCUUUGGUGAUCUGACACAAACCAUGAGGAAGAUUUAAACUGUCUCUCAGUGAGGAACAGACUGCAUAUCCUCCAGGCUGUCCUCCAGGAAUGGCAUUGUCCACAACCGACCUUUCGAUGAGAAUUAGACAGGGCUGCAUUCCAAGUGUCUGCAAGGGCACAGAGUGCAGACAACCCAAUGACUAAUUAAUUAAGGAAAUAAUCUCUGUAGUAAAUGUGUUGAGGAUGUAGUCUGACCCAUGAUUCCAAGUAAAAUCUCAUUUUAAAAAAGACUUCUGAAAUUAAACAAAGCUAUAUUACAUUGUAUAUAGUAAGAUGCUGAGAAAAAAAGUUGGUUAACAAAAACAACAAAUGUUGGUUAACGUAACACAGCCAGGAAAUAAAAGGUUUUGUUUCCGUUUCUCCAUAA